UGAGGGAGAGGCAGAUGGAAUUGGUGGUGUAGGGGUAAAUCCGGUAGAGAUCACCAGGAAUACCCAUUGCGAAGGCGAUCUGCUGGAACUCAACUGACGCUAAUGCGUGAAAGCGUGGGGAGCAAACAGGAUUAGAUACCCUGGUAGUCCACGCCCUAAACGAUGUAUACUAGUUGUUGCUAAGCUAGUCUUGGCAGUAAUGCACCUAACGGAUUAAGUAUACCGCCUGGGGAGUACGGUCGCAAGAUUAAAACUCAAAGGAAUAGACGGGGACCCGCACAAGCGGUGGAGCAUGUGGUUUAAUUCGAAGAUACGCGAAGAACCUUACCCGGACUUGAUAUCUAACAAAUCAUCUAGAGAUAGAAGAGUGUCUGCUUGCAGAAAUGUUAAGACAGGUGCUGCACGGCUGUCGUCAGCUCGUGUCGUGAGAUGUUGGGUUAAGUCCCGCAACGAGCGCAACCCACGUCAUUAGUUGCUAACAGUUCGGCUGAGCACUCUAAUGAGACUGCCUUCGUAAGGAGGAGGAAGGUGUGGACGACGUCAAGUCAUCAUGGCCCUUAUGUCCGGGGCGACACACGUGCUACAAUGGCAUAUACAAUGAGAAGCAAUAUCGCGAGAUGGAGCAAAUCUAUAAAAUAUGUCCCAGUUCGGAUUGGAGUCUGCAACUCGACUCCAUGAAGCCGGAAUCGCUAGUAAUCGUAGAUCAGCCAUGCUACGGUGAAUACGUUCCCGGGUCUUGUACUCACCGCCCGUCACACCAUGGGAGUUGAUUUCACUCGAAGCCGGAAUACUAAAUUAGUUACCGUCCACAGUGGAAUCAAAAACUGG
rnacentral:rRNA from 1 species